rnacentral:rRNA from 1 species
AACGAACGCUGGCGGCAUGCCUAACACAUGCAAGUCGAACGAGACCUUCGGGUCUAGUGGCGCACGGGUGCGUAACGCGUGGGAACCUGCCCUUAGGUUCGGAAUAACUCCCCGAAAGGGGUGCUAAUACCGGAUAAUGUCUUCGGACCAAGGAUUUAUCGCCUUUGGAUGGGCCCGCGUUGGAUUAGCUAGUUGGUAGGGUAAAAGCCUACCAAGGCGACGAUCCAUAGCUGGUCUGAGAGGAUGAUCAGCCACACUGGGACUGAGACACGGCCCAGACUCCUACGGGAAGCAGCAGUGGGGAAUAUUGGACAAUGGGCGAAAGCCUGAUCCAGCAAUGCCGCGUGAGUGAUGAAGGCCUUAGGGUUGUAAAGCUCUUUUACCCGGGAUGAUAAUGACAGUACCGGGAGAAUAAGCUCCGGCUAACUCCGUG